rnacentral:rRNA from 1 species
UACGUAGGUGGCAAGCGUUGUCCGGAUUUAUUGGGUUUAAAGGGUGCGUAGGCGGCUUCGUAAGUCAGUGGUGAAAUACUCUAGCUUAACUAGAGGGGUGCCAUUGAUACUGCAGAGCUUGAGUACAGAUGAGGUAGGCGGAAUUGACGGUGUAGCGGUGAAAUGCAUAGAUAUCGUCAAGAACACCGAUAGCGAAGGCAGCUUACUGGGCUGUAACUGACGCUGAUGCACGAAAGUGUGGGGAUCAAACAGG